rnacentral:lncRNA from 1 species
ACAAUAUACACGUAUGCAUUUAUAAUUUUUUUAAAUCUGUUAAUGAAUUAUUAUAAUUAAAAAACACUAAUAUUUAUCACUAAUCCUAAUUCCCCCCCUUUAACCCUAAUCCCAAAUCAAAAUCAAACUAAACCUAAGAUAAAAUAAGAGAGAAUGUCGAAGAAGGGGAAGGAGUUGGAGAACCAGAGGUGAACGAAGAGGAAGCACGCGAGGUUGAACGGGGAAAGGCGACGGCGGUAGCGGUGGUUAACGAAGUGGAAGCACGCGAGGUUGAAGCACAAGAUGCAGUCUCAGAACCAGAUCCAGAAGUGCGCUAUGGCGAGGAACAACACCCAGAUGCGCGACUCGACCCAGAACACACGAAUCAGUGCUCGUUCGUCCAAUUCCUGCACCCCUUUGCAAGAGAGAAGUUGUGGUUGUGGCAAACAAGUGAUUCUGUACAAAUCCAAUUC